rnacentral:rRNA from 1 species
AGUGAACGCUGGCGGUAGGCCUAACACAUGCAAGUCGAACGGCAGCACAGUAAGAGCUUGCUCUUACGGGUGGCGAGUGGCGGACGGGUGAGGAAUACAUCGGAAUCUACUUUUUCGUGGGGGAUAACGUAGGGAAACUUACGCUAAUACCGCAUACGACCUACGGGUGAGAGCAGGGGAUCUUCGGACCUUGCGCGAUUGCAUGAGCCGAUGUCGGAUUAGCUAGUUGGCGGGGUAAAGGCCCACCAAGGCGACGAUCCGUAGCUGGUCUGAGAGGAUGAUCAGCCACACUGGAACUGAGACACGGUCCAGACUCCUACGGGAGGCAGCAGUGGGGAAUAUUGGACAAUGGGCGCAAGCCUGAUCCAGCCAUACCGCGUGGGUGAAGAAGGCCUUCGGGUUGUAAAGCCCUUUUGUUGGGAAAGAAAAGCAGCAGGUUAAUACCCCGCUGUUCUGACGGUACCCAAAGAAUAAGCACCGGCUAACUUCGUG